CUACGGGCCGCUGCAGUGAGGAAUAUUGCACAAUGGGGGGAACCCUGAUGCAGCAACGCCGCGUGGAGGAUGACGCAUUUCGGUGUGUAAAUUCCUUUUAUAUGUCAAGAAAAUGACGGUAGCAUAUGAAUAAGCACCGGCUAACUCCGUGCCAGCAGCCGCGGUAAUACGGAGGGUGCAAGCGUUACUCGGAAUCACUGGGCGUAAAGGACGCGUAGGCGGGUUGGAAAGUCAGGUGUGAAAUCCUACAGCUUAACUGUAGAACUGCACUUGAAACUUCUAAUCUAGAGAAUGGGAGGGGGAGAUGGAAUUAGUGGUGUAGGGGUAAAAUCCGUAGAUAUCACUAGGAAUACCUAAAGCGAAGGCGAUCUCCUGGAACAUUACUGACGCUAAGGCGUGAAAGCGUGGGGAGCAAACAGGAUUAGAUACCCGGGUAGUC
rnacentral:rRNA from 1 species